UACGGGGGGAGCAAGCGUUGUUCGGAUUUACUGGGCGUAAAGGGCGCGUAGGCGGCCAGCACAAGUCAGUUGUGAAAUCUCCGAGCUUAACUCGGAAAGAUCAACUGAUACUGUGCGGCUAGAGUGCGGAAGGGGCAACUGGAAUUCUUGGUGUAGCGGUGAAAUGCGUAGAUAUCAAGAGGAACACCUGCGGCGAAGGCGGGUAGCUGGGCCGACACUGACGCUGAUGCGCGAAAGCCAGGGGAGCGAACGGG
rnacentral:rRNA from 1 species